rnacentral:rRNA from 1 species
GACGAACGCUGGCGGCGUGCCUAAUACAUGCAAGUAGAACGCUGAAGGAGGAGCUUGCUUCUCUGGAUGAGUUGCGAACGGGUGAGUAACGCGUAGGUAACCUGCCUGGUAGCGGGGGAUAACUAUUGGAAACGAUAGCUAAUACCGCAUAAUAGUAGAUGUUGCAUGACAUUUGCUUAAAAGGUGCAAUUGCAUCACUACCAGAUGGACCUGCGUUGUAUUAGCUAGUUGGUGAGGUAACGGCUCACCAAGGCGACGAUACAUAGCCGACCUGAGAGGGUGAUCGGCCACACUGGGACUGAGACACGGCCCAGACUCCUACGGGAGGCAGCAGUAGGGAAUCUUCGGCAAUGGACGGAAGUCUGACCGAGCAACGCCGCGUGAGUGCAGAAGGUUUUCGGAUCGUAAAGCUCUGUUGUAAGAGAAGAACGAGUGUGAGAGUGGAAAGUUCACACUGUGACGGUAUCUUACCAGAAAGGGACGGCUAACUACGUG